CUUGAACGCUGGCGGCAGGCCUAACACAUGCAAGUCGAACGAGAGGCGGACGGGUGAGUAAUGUCUGGGAAACUGCCCGAUGGAGGGGGAUAACUACUGGAAAGCGUAGCUAAUACCGCAUACCAUCGGAUGUGCCCCGAUGGGAUUAGCUAGUAGGUGGGGUAACGGCUAACCUAGGCGACGAUCCCUAGCUGGGCUGAGAGGAUGACCAGCCACACUGGAACGGCGACACGGUCCAGACUCCUACGGGAGGCAGCAGUGGGGAAUAUUGCACAAGGGGCGAAAGACUGAUGCAGCCAGGCCGAGUGUAUGAAGAAGGCCUUCGGGUUGUAAAGUACUUGCAGCGAGGAGGCGUUACUCGCAGAAGAAGCACCGGCUAACUCCGUGCCAGCAGCCGCGGUAAUUC
rnacentral:rRNA from 1 species